rnacentral:rRNA from 1 species
UUAGGCGGAUUUAUCUGCCGCUCAUGGAUGGGCCUGCGGUGCAUUAGCUAGUUGGUGAGAUAGUGGCUCACCAAGGCGACGAUGCAUAGCCGACCUGAGAGGGUGAUCGGCCACACUGGGGCUGAGACACGGCCCAGACUCCUACGGGAGGCAGCAGUAGGGAAUCUUCCGCAAUGGACGCAAGUCUGACGGAGCAACGCCGCGUGAGUGAUGAAGGGUUUCGGCUCGUAAAACUCUGUUGUUAAGGAAGAACACUUGAGGUAGUAACUGGCCUUGAGAUGACGGUA